AUUGAACGCUGGCGGCAUGCUUUACACAUGCAAGUCGAACGGUAACAGGCCUUCGGGUGCUGACGAGUGGCGAACGGGUGAGUAAUGCAUCGGAACGUGCCCAGAGGUGGGGGAUAACGCAGCGAAAGCUGUGCUAAUACCGCAUGUGAUCUGAGGAUGAAAGCGGGGGACCAGGCAGGAAUGUUUGGCCUCGCGCCUUUGGAGCGGCCGAUGUCAGAUUAGGUAGUUGGUGGGGUAAAGGCCUACCAAGCCGACGAUCCGUAGCUGGUCUGAGAGGACGAUCAGCCACACUGGGACUGAGACACGGCCCAGACUCCUACGGGAGGCAGCAGUGGGGAAUUUUGGACAAUGGGCGCAAGCCUGAUCCAGCAAUGCCGCGUGCGGGAAGAAGGCCUUCGGGUUGUAAACCGCUUUUGUACGGAACGAAAAGGCUCUGGCUAAUACCUGGGGCUGAUGACGGUACCGUAAGAAUAAGCACCGGCUAACUACGUG
rnacentral:rRNA from 1 species